rnacentral:rRNA from 1 species
UACGUAGGCAGCGAGCGUUGUUCGGAGUUACUGGGCGUAAAGAGUGCGUAGGCGGUGCCCUAAGUCUGGUGUGAAAUCUCCCGGCUCAACCGGGAGGGUGCGCCGGAAACUGGGGUGCUCGAGUGUGGGAGAGGCAGGCGGAAUUCCCGGAGUAGCGGUGAAAUGCGUAGAUAUCGGGAGGAACACCCGCGGUGUAGACGGCCUGCUGGACCAUGACUGACGCUGAGGCACGAAAGCGUGGGGAGCAAACAGG